GGCGUUGCGUUCUUCUGGUCGUUGACUCUGUUCGGGCCGCUGAGCCUGCGGCACAUCUUCAGGAAAAACCGGUACAGGUGCUCACAUGAGGGUGUGUCGACUCACACUGCAGACCAGCCUCAAACAGAGAUGGAAACUCCAGCCUUAAACUCGAGUCGAACUUAAAGCUGAGGCUAAGGCCUAGUAACCUGUAGUAGCCUGCUCCCUCAGAAAAUCUUGUUCAGUCCACACCAGACUAGUGUGGUUUAAAGAGAGAGAGAGAGAGAAAGCCACAUACACUCCCACAGUUGUGUGUCGUUGGGCCCCGGGCUGUGUCUCCAGGAAUGACAUCGGACUGGUUUGAGAGCAGCAGACGCAGUCCUGAAGGACACACACCAUGAGUUCUCACAUGAACAAGUAACUGACGUUUGACUGCUUGUCCACUUACACUUUAGAGCUAUUUCCAUUAAGUUCCAAACGCAAGUCAUUAAGAAACUUUAUCCGGUGAACGUAGGUCAUUUUGGACACAUUCUGCCAUCGAGAUGACUGGGGAAAUGCCCUGAUUAUUCUGAA